rnacentral:rRNA from 1 species
UCAAGCGAAUAAGCGCACACGGUGGAUGCCUAGGCGGUCAGAGGCGAUGAAGGACGUGGUAGCCUGCGAAAAGUGUCGGGGAGCUGGCAACAAGCUUUGAUCCGGCAAUAUCCGAAUGGGGAAACCCACUGCUUCGGCAGUAUCUUGCAGUGAAUUCAUAGCUGCUUGAAGCGAACCCGGUGAACUGAAAUAUCUAAGUAACCGGAGGAAAAGAAAUCAACCGAGAUUCCCUGAGUAGUGACGAGCGAACGGGGAACAGCCCUUAAGCUGGAAUGGCUUUAGAAAAACAAUCUGGAAAGAUUGGCCAUAGAAGGUGAUAGCCCUGUAUUUAAAAGGGCCACUCCAGUGAAGACGAGUAGGGCGGGGCACGUGAAACCCUGUCUGAAUAUGGGGGGACCAUCCUCCAAGGCUAAAUACUCCUGACCGACCGAUAGUGAACCAGUACCGUGAGGGAAAGGCGAAAAGAACCCCGGAGAGGGGAGUGAAAUAGAUCCUGAAACCGUGUGCGUACAAGCAGUAGGAGCUCGCAAGAGUGACUGCGUACCUUUUGUAUAAUGGGUCAGCGACUUACUGUUCGUGGCAAGCUUAACCGUAUAGGGGAGGCGAAGGGAAACCGAGUCUGAUAAGGGCGCAUAGUCGCGGGCAGUAGACCCGAAACCGGGUGAUCUAGUCAUGGCCAGGGUGAAGGUGCCGUAACAGGUACUGGAGGCCCGAACCCACGUCUGUUGCAAAAGACGGGGAUGAGCUGUGAUUAGGAGUGAAAAGCUAAUCGAACCCGGAGAUAGCUGGUUCUCCUCGAAAGCUAUUUAGGUAGCGCCUCGGACGAAUACUACUGGGGGUAGAGCACUGUUAUGGCUAGGGGGUCAUCGCGACUUACCAAACCAUUGCAAACUCCGAAUACCAGUACGUACUAUCCGGGAGACACACGGCGGGUGCUAACGUCCGUCGUGAAAAGGGAAACAACCCAGACCCACAGCUAAGGUCCCAAAUUCACUGCUAAGUGGAAAACGAUGUGGAAAGGCAUAGACAGCCAGGAGGUUGGCUUAGAAGCAGCCACCCUUUAAAGAAAGCGUAAUAGCUCACUGGUCGAGUCGGUCUGCGCGGAAGAUUUAACGGGGCUAAGCAGUGAACCGAAGCUUGGGGUGCGUAAAACUUCGGUUUUAUGCGCGGUAGAGGAGCGUUCCGUAAGCCUGCGAAGGUGGAUUGAGAAGUCUGCUGGAGGUAUCGGAAGUGCGAAUGCUGACAUGAGUAACGAUAAUGCGGGUGAAAAGCCCGCACGCCGAAAGCCCAAGGUUUCCUUGCGCAACGUUAAUCGACGCAGGGUUAGUCGGUCCCUAAGGCGAGGGCGAAAGCCGUAGUCGAUGGGAAGCAGGUUAAUAUUCCUGCACCUCGCGUGAGUGCGAUGGAGGGACGGAGAAGGUUAGGUGUACCGGGCGUUGGUUGUCCCGGGGAAAGGCGGUAGGUUUGGAUCUUUGGCAAAUCCGGGAUCCUUUAAGACCGAGCACCGAGACGAGCCUUUAUGGCGAAGUCACUGAUACCACGCUUCCAGGAAAAGCUCCUAAGCUUCAGCUCACGAAGACCGUACCGUAAACCGACACAGGUGGGUAGGAUGAGAAUUCUCAGGCGCUUGAGAGAACUCGGGUGAAGGAACUAGGCAACAUGGCACCGUAACUUCGGGAGAAGGUGCACCCUUUUUGGUGGCUCAUGCGAGCUAUAGCUGAAGAGGGUCGCAGAAACCAGGCCGCUGCGACUGUUUAUCAAAAACACAGCACUCUGCAAACACGAAAGUGGACGUAUAGGGUGUGACGCCUGCCCGGUGCUGGAAGGUUAAUUGAUGGGGUCAGCCGCAAGGCGAAGCUCUUGAUCGAAGCCCCAGUAAACGGCGGCCGUAACUAUAACGGUCCUAAGGUAGCGAAAUUCCUUGUCGGGUAAGUUCCGACCUGCACGAAUGGCGUAACGACAGCGGCGCUGUCUCCACCCGAGACUCAGUGAAAUUGAAAUCGCUGUGAAGAUGCAGCGUUCCCGUGGCAAGACGGAAAGACCCCGUGAACCUUUACUAUAGCUUUACACUGAACGUUGAGUUCGUCUGUGUAGGAUAGGUGGGAGGCUAUGAAACUGUGGCGCUAGCUGCAGUGGAGCCAUCCUUGAAAUACCACCCUGUCGUGCUUGACGUUCUAACCUAGAUCCGUUAUCCGGAUCAGGGACCGUGUAUGGUGGGUAGUUUGACUGGGGCGGUCUCCUCCUAAAGAGUAACGGAGGAGCACGAAGGUACGCUCAGCGCGGUCGGACAUCGCGCACUGUGUGCAAAGGCAUAAGCGUGCUUGACUGCAAGAUCGACGGAUCAAGCAGGUACGAAAGUAGGUCUUAGUGAUCCGGUGGUUCUGUAUGGAAGGGCCAUCGCUCAACGGAUAAAAGGUACUCCGGGGAUAACAGGCUGAUACCGCCCAAGAGUUCAUAUCGACGGCGGUGUUUGGCACCUCGAUGUCGGCUCAUCACAUCCUGGGGCUGUAGUCGGUCCCAAGGGUAUGGCUGUUCGCCAUUUAAAGUGGUACGCGAGCUGGGUUCAGAACGUCGUGAGACAGUUCGGUCCCUAUCUGCCAUGGGCGUUGGAAGUUUGAGAGGGGCUGCUCCUAGUACGAGAGGACCGGAGUGGACGAACCUCUGGUGUUCCGGUUGUCACGCCAGUGGCAUUGCCGGGUAGCUAUGUUCGGAAGCGAUAACCGCUGAAAGCAUCUAAGCGGGAAGCGCGCCUCAAGAUGAGACUUCCCGGGGCACAAGCCCCCUAAAGGAACCAUAUAGACUAUGUGGUUGAUAGGUCAGGUGUGUAAGUACAGCAAUGUAUUGAGCUAACUGAUACUAAUGAUCCGUGCGGCUUGACCAU